rnacentral:tRNA from 1 species
CCGUAGCUCAGCUGGAUAGAGUACCUGGCUACGAACCAGGCGGUCGGAGGUUCGAAUCCUUCCGGGCGCGCCA